rnacentral:lncRNA from 1 species
CGCCUCCCCCCCCCCCCCCCAGCCGCCAGCCUUCAGCCCUGAAAAGGAGGUCUCUACCCCGGGUUUCUGCUGCUGGUGGAACCGGGCGGGGGACAAGGCGGGUUCACCCAGGAUGCGAACGGGGCGGUCCUCUAGGAAGGCUUGGCCGGCUUACAAGACUAGAGUCAAUCAGUGGGGAUGUCGGGCAGACCAGGGGUGAUGACCAGAGCCCACGAAAUGGGGGUCUUCAGGAGUGCGAGGCGCGCAGAAAGGCAUGGGAGGGCCUCGGAACCGCGGCCCUGGCGCGGGUGUGCAGAAGCUUAGAUCCGCCCACCCAAGAGCUCCUAAUGGCCCGGUACAGGGAGGCGAGGAUAGCAAUGGGGGCGGGGGCGGGGGGAGGGUUCUUCUCGGUGUUUCGAGUAACAUCAAGCCGGGAGGCAGAGCUGUUCAAGGUGAAUCCUAGAUGGCUCCUAGGCCCUUUCCCCUGGGAGAGGAAAGGGCUCAUUUGCUCAGUUGAGAUCAUCCAGGUAUGGAUAAGGAGAGACGGCUCUUGUUACGAGUUGAAUUAUAUCCCCCAAAGAAGCCAGCACCCAGGCAAGGAGUCCAUGUCAUAAAAUGACCUACACCUCUGGAGACAGAUCUGCUUUGGUGGGAGGCCCUACUGUUCCUCAGCGUUUUAACCUUGGGGAAAUUACUGAGUCUGUCUUCUGUUUCAAUUCCUUAUCUGAAAUAUGGGGAUGAUGGUAAUAAAGAGGUUGUUGCGAGCA